CUACGGGACGCAGCAGUGAGGAAUAUUGCACAAUGGGGGAAACCCUGAUGCAGCAACGCCGCGUGGAGGAUGACGCAUUUCGGUGUGUAAACUCCUUUUAUAUGUCAAGAAAAUGACGGUAGCAUAUGAAUAAGCACCGGCUAACUCCGUGCCAGCAGCCGCGGUAAUACGGAGGGUGCAAGCGUUACUCGGAAUCACUGGGCGUAAAGGACGCGUAGGCGGGUUGUCAAGUCAGGUGUGAAAUCCUACAGCUUAACUGUAGAACUGCACUUGAAAUUGGCAGCCUAGAGUAUGGGAGGGGGAGAUGGAAUUAGUAGUGUAGGGGUAAAAUCCGUAGAUAUUACUAGGAAUAUCAAAAGCGAAGGCGAUCUCCUGGAACAUUACUGACGCUAAGGCGUGAAAGCGUGGGGAGCAAACAGGAUUAGAUACCCCGGUAGUC
rnacentral:rRNA from 1 species